CCUACGGGUGGCUGCAGUGGGGAAUCUUGCGCAAUGGCCGCAAGGCUGACGCAGCGACGCCGCGUGGGGGAGGAAGGGCUUCGGCUCGUAAACCCCUGUUGCCCGGGGCGAACAUCCCUUUUCGAGGGGACUGACGGUACCGGGUGAGGAAGCACCGGCUAACUCCGUGCCAGCAGCCGCGGUAAUACGGAGGGUGCGAGCGUUGUCCGGAAUCACUGGGCGUAAAGGGCGCGUAGGUGGCCGAGCAAGGUCGCGGUGAAAGCCUGGGGCUCAAC
rnacentral:rRNA from 1 species